rnacentral:miRNA from 1 species
UUUUUGUACGUAAUGGAAUU